rnacentral:rRNA from 1 species
GACGAACGCUGGCGGCGUGCUUAACACAUGCAAGUCGGACGAUGAAGCCUAGCUUGCUAGGUGGGUUAGUGGCGAACGGGUGAGUAAUACGUGAGUAACCUACCUUUAACUCUGGGAUAAGCCUGGGAAACUGGGUCUAAUACCGGAUACGACCAAUCUCCGCCUGGGGUGUUGGUGGAAAUCGUUAUGUAGUGGAUAUAGAUGGGCUCACGGCCUAUCAGCUUGUUGGGGAGGUAACGGCUCACCAAGGCGACGACGGGUAGCCGGCCUGAGAGGGUGACCGGCCAAACUGGGACAGAGACACGGCCCAGACUCCUACGGGAGGCAGCAGUGGGGAAUAUUGCACAAUGGGCGCAAGCCUGGUGCAGCGACGCCGCGUGAGGGAUGACGGCCUUCGGGUUGUAAACCUCUGUUAGCAGGGAAGAAGAGAAAUUGACGGUACCUGAAGAGAAAGCGCCGGCUAACUACGUG